UUUAAUCGCUCAUUUAAAACCCAGCCUGCAGAUCUGAUGAUCGGUAGAACAUAAACACUACAGGGUGCUGGCGGAGAUGAGUUGUAGAUCAGCGGGCCAGGCGGCAGCGCUGCACCUGCCGGACUCACAGCUGGUCUAAUCAAAAGCGCGGGAAUUCAAUUCUGAGGUAAAUCGUUAGCUAAGCGGCUAAUUUACCUCAGCGUCCUGUAUAACCCGCGGACGCUUCGUUUGCUCAGAUUUCCAAGAUGGCGACUACCUUCACUGAAUCAAUCUCCACGAUUCAGGACUCGUCCCUAAUUGUUGAACUUAUCCCACUGGUAUGGCGGAGGAGCUUGGGGCUGUUCUACCAGAUAAUCCAGAUGACUCCAGUAAGGUAUGGAUAACCAACAUUUCUACUUACGUAAGGUAAGAGUAUUUGUACUUUAUUACUCAACAACUCUGACAGCAUUUUAUAGCUUACUUUUUUUUUAUUUUCUGUGAGUAGGUGCUGUUUAACUUACAUGG